CCUACGGGAGGCUGCAGUCGAGAAUCAUUCACAAUGGGGGAAACCCUGAUGGGGCGACGCCGCGUGGGGGAAUGAAGGUCUGCGGAUUGUAAACCCCUGUCAUGUGGGAGCAAAUUAAAAAGAUAGUACCACAAGAGGAAGAGACGGCUAACUCUGUGCCAGCAGCCGCGGUAAUACAGAGGUCUCAAGCGUGGUUCGGAAUCACUGGGCGGAAAGCGUGCGUAGGCUGUUUCGUAAGUCGUGUGUGAAAGGCGCGGGCUCAACCCGCGGACGGCACAUGAUACUGCGAGACUAGAGUAAUGGAGGGGGAACCGGAAUUCUCGGUGUAGCAGUGAAAUGCGUAGAUAUCGAGAGGAACACUCGUGGCGAAGGCGGGUUCCUGGACAUUAACUGACGCUGAGGCACGAAGGCCAGGGGAGCGAAAGGGAUUAGAUACCCUGGUAGUC
rnacentral:rRNA from 1 species